CCUACGGGAGGCAGCAGUGAGGAAUAUUGGUCAAUGGGCGGAAGCCUGAACCAGCCAAGUAGCGUGCAGGAUGACGGCUCUACGGGUUGUAAACUGCUUUUAUACGGGAAUAACGCGCCUUACGUGUAGGGCUUUGCAUGUACCGUAUGAAUAAGGACCGGCUAAUUCCGUGCCAGCAGCCGCGGGAAUACGGGAGGGCCGGGCGUUAUCCGGAUUUAUGGGGUUUAAAGGGGGCGUAGGGCGCAUGUAAAGCGUGCUGUGAAAUGUCCGGGCUCAAGCCGGGCCUUGCAGCGCGAACUGGCGUGCUUGAGUCCGCGGAAAGCAGGCGGAAUUCGUCGUGUAGCGGUGAAAAGCUUAGAUAUGACGAAGAACCCCGAUUGCGAAGGCAGCUUGCUGCAGCGGAACUGACGCUGAUGCUCGAAAGCGCGGGUAUCGAACAGGAUUAGAUACCCUGGUAGUC
rnacentral:rRNA from 1 species